CCUACGGGAGGCAGCAGUGGGGAAUAUUGGGCAAUGGGCGCAAGCCUGACCCAGCAACGCCGCGUGAAGGAAGAAGGCUUUCGGGUUGUAAACUUCUUUUCUCAGGGACGAAGCAAGUGACGGUACCUGCGUAAUAAGCCACGGCUAACUACGUGCCAGCAGCCGCGGUAAUACGUAGGUGGCACGCGUUAUCCGGAUUUACUGGGUGUAAGGGGCGUGUAGGCGGGAAAGCAAGUCAGAUGUGAAAACCAUGGGCUCAACCUGUGGACUGCAUUUGAAACUGUUUGUCUUGAGUACUGGAGAGGCAGACGGAAUUCCUAGUGUAGCGGUGAAAUGCGUAGAUAUUAGGAGGAACACCAGUGGCGAAGGCGGUCUGCUGGACAGCAACUGACGCUGAGGCGCGAAAGCGUGGGGAGCAAACAGGAUUAGAUACCCUAGUAGUC
rnacentral:rRNA from 1 species